rnacentral:rRNA from 1 species
UACAGAGGUCUCAAGCGUUGUUCGGAUUCAUUGGGCGUAAGGGUGUGUAGGUGGCGCGCUAAGUCGGGUGUGAAAUUUCGGAGCUUAACUCCGAAACUGCAUUCGAUACUGGCGUGCUUGAGGACUGGAGAGGAGACUGGAAUUCAUGGUGUAGCAGUGAAAUGCGUAGAGAUCAUGAGGAAGACCAGUGGCGAAGGCGGGUCUCUGGACAGUUCCUGACGCUGAGGCACGAAGGCCAGGGGAGCAAACGGG